ACCGUCUCUAUUCCAUUGGAUGUUCUUUCCUGCUUUGUCAAGGGUGAGUUGGCCAUACGUUUGCGGGUCCAUUCUGGGUUCUGUAUUCUGUUCCGUUGCUCCGAGUGUGCGUUUUGUCCCACCCGAUGCCAUUUGCUGCUACUGCUGUCCUCCGUCUUGCUCCUGACUUUCACGGGAAGCGUAACUGCCAGGCUGUCCCGGGUGUGUACUGUGUGGUCGGUGCCGUGCCGCCUCCCGUGACUCCGUCCACGUCCCCUCCGCAGCCCGAGGCAGUGCUGGUGUUCUCACAGCACCUGACGGGCAGAGACGUGGGUCCAGAGCCGGCGAAUCACUGUCCACCGCCACGCGGCUGGAAGCGCCAUUCCCGCCACCUGGACCUGGUCGCCGGAUCCCUCUUUGCCUGCCUCCUCGCCACUGUCUAGUCUCUCACCUCUACCUGCUGCAGCUCCCGUGUGACACAGGCCGUUGUCCCAGCCACCGCCGGGUCUGUGCCGGACCCUCCCUCUUCAGCUCCAGGCACAGGACAGGAAAGACCACCAGCAGCACACACACACACACACACACACACACACACACACACUACUGGACGUAUGGACACAAGCAUUUGAAUGUAAUAAAGGGACCAUCCCGCAGAUCAGAAAUGAAGACAUCUCAACUGCGAAAGGCAGUGGUAACUGGGAGCUGUGUGCGUCUCCCAGCGAGUGGGGCCUAGAAGGUUUCCAGCCUCUUGCCUGCACUUGUGGCCGGAGGCCAGCUGCCCACCGUGCCCGGGGUCGCAGCUCAGCACCCGGGGGUCCAGGAGGAACCCCACACGGUGCGCGGCCCAGAGCGAGCAGGUCAGGGCCAAGGGUGCCCCCCGGGAGGACCCACGGGGACCACGGGAACCAUCGUGCCCGGGCUUCUCCGCCAGAGCCCAGGGGCAGCGAGGCCCCGCAGGUGCGCGGUCCCUGCACCUGCCUCCACCUCCUGCCGCCCACUCCCGAGGACGCUCACCACCUCCGCGCGGGCUACAAGCUUUUCUCUAUCCUCCCUCGAUCUCUCUCUGGCGAACGUCAUCACUUAGUACUUGUUGACUUGUUUGGAUUAUGGUAGCGUCCGUAGUGCAGGGUAGUAUGCAUAGCGUAAACUUAGAAAAUCUAGAAUAUGUAAAAGAUUAAAACUCCGCACGCUCGCCACCCGGAGAAACGUAGUUAACAUUUCUAUAUAUUCCCUCCUAGCCUUUUUUCACUUGCACACACACACUCGAGCGCAGGCACACACACGAGCACGUACAAGCACGUAUGCAUCCGCUCUUCCAAAUGUGGGUUGUUAAAGGUAAACCUUAGAAUGAAACAAAAUUGCGUUAGAAUUCUUAUAAGAAUUUAAUUAAUCCUAUAAACGUCUUUGGGAAAAAAAAAUGCACAUCCCUGUGAUGCUCACUCAUCCAUUCUGGGAACAGAUUACAGUCCUCCAUUCAUUUACAUCCUAUUUUCGGUCCCAUAUGAAGUUUGUAUUUUUAUCCACAUUGGUGCCAUUUUUUUUUUUUUUUUGUAAAUGUAUUUGAGAGGGAGAGAGAGUGUGUGCGCCAGGAGGGGAGGGACCGAGAGAGAGGAGAGAGAGGAUCCCAAGGAGGGUCUGGGCUCUCCGUGCAGAGACACCUGGGGCUCGAGCUCGCCAACCCUGAGAUCGACCCUCAGAUCGUGAUCUGAGACGAAACCAAGAGUUCGACGUUUAACCAGCUGAGCCACCUGACGCCCCCACAUGGGUGCCAUUUUUAAAACAGAUGCCAUUUUUUUCCUAUCGCCAAUGACACACAUCUCUUUUUUGUCCCCGAUGGGUUUUGCACGGGCUGCAUUAGAGAGACUGAGGCUGCAUUAUUUUUUAUGUUGCCAUUGUAUGAUAUCUUAAUUUUUUUUUUUUUUACAAGUUUUAAAGUUGAUCCUCUUGGAUUUUCGUAUAAUCUUAUCCCCGGCAAAUAAGAGUAUUAUCCACGACUUUCUAACAUUGCGUAGCUUCGCCUUCUUCCCCUACUGCACGAACAAAGGCCGGGAGGAGACCCUUCACAUGCCUGUCCUCCCGCUGGGAAAUUCCCACUGAGAGGGCAGAGCCUGAAACCACAAGACUAAACUGGUCCCCGACGGUUGUCUGGCUGGCAGACCCCACGGUGUGGCUUGCCCAGGCCCUGGCACCCAGUGCCACCUGGCUUGUCGCUGGUCUUCACCAGGAGCCAUCGGAAACCCAUCACUGUCCCAUGGGGCUGGUUCUCGGGCAGCGUGGCUGCUCCCCCUUUUCCCCUACCGCAGCCUCUGCUCCUGAGAUCUCCCCACCCCAGUGGGCAGGCUCCUGGGGGCAGGAAGCAGCUUGUGACCCUAACUAUCUCCCACAGCCUCCCUGAACCCCCAGGCGACCGAUCGACCCCCGCAUCACAAACGGCUUGACCCUGGUGCCUCUGUCAGGGGUCCUUCCCUAGGCUCCAUGGCUUCUGGGUGUAGCUGUGGAGACUUCUGGAUUCCAAACAGCAGUGUGUCCCUAGAAACCUGUUGGUCACACCCCAAGUGCCGCAAUCAAGCUGAUCAAAACUGCCAGCCCUCUCAGCCAAGACUCACACACGAGAAGAAAAGGCAGUGAAUAAAGUGUAUAUUCUGGAUUCAGGCGGCUGCUGACAAGCCUUGAGCGCCCACGCCGGAAGGGAUUACACGUGCCCUUCCUUCUACCAGGACCAGAAGCUCGCGCAGCCUGGCUGGUUCUACACCAAACUUGGUUUCUCUUCUUCCUGCACCGAAAGCUCCCUUUCCCACUGGGUGGGAAGCGUCUUCCACGCUCCCUCCCCUUCUGCCAGUUUGACCAAGGCCCAUGGUCAAGGCGCCCUUGGAAACCGAGUAGUGCCAUGGGCGGUAGCAUCCAAUGGAGGGAGCCCGGGCCCGAGUCGCCGUUUGGGGGAGGGCCGCCAGGAUCGCCGCAGGAUGUGGCGAAGAAGAAAGCGCGCAUCGGAGCAGCGACUGUGACUGCCACCCCCUCCCUGGGGGCAUCACCAGCAGAGGUGGGCAGAUGGGAGCGGGGUCAGGGGGCCAGGGUGGAGUGAUCAUGCCUUCUUCCCCUGAGCGGCCCCACCAUGGGGGUCACCGUGGCCUGGCGAGGCCGACCGAGGUCCAGUCGAGAGAAGGCCUCGCCAGCCCCUUCAAGCCACCAGGCCUCCAGAGAGCUCUAGCCAGCCCCACGGAGAAGGAAGGGGACAAGGUCCCAAACUGUGUUUGAGCGGAACAUUCUUUAGAAACAAACAGAGCCCGGUCUUAACCACCAAGAGACUGUUCUGCAGACAAAAAUGGCAGGGGGGAAGCAGGAGGGGCCCGGCAGAUCCCACUCGGAUCAGGGGUUGGGAAGAAAUGAAAUUGUUUCUGUUUCUGUUCCUAACAAGUUGAGACUCUUCGAUAAAGCGGUUACACGUAAUGUACUUAUGUUAUGAAAAAAAAAAAACCCUCACAAAGCUAUAAAAUAAAAUGAAAAGCAGAGAAAAACACUGGUAUUCUCAAUCCUAAAGGAGGUUUGAGGACACGAAAAUCACCAAGUCAGAGUGAUGCUGCCCCGAGCAUUUCAGCUGCCUGGAGUGGUUUAGAAGAACCUUCGGAAUCUGAAUAAGAAAAACAAACACAAUAGCCCAUUGACUGUGUACCUGCUGUCUGCCAGGUGCUGUUCUAGAAGCUGAAGGGGUAACGGUAAGACAGAGGCACUGUCCCAUUGGAAUACUCAUUCUUGUGAGAGAAGAAUAACAAAGCCACCUGCUUAUCAUAUUAGGGAAGGAGGGUAGGUGUGGUCUCUCCAAGUGGAGACUCUCUCCAUCUGGUCUCUCCAUAUCCGAGUGGAGGCCCAAGGAAGGUGAAGGGGGCUCAGACUCAAACUUGGUCGAGGAAUCAAAGAGGAAAAGUUAUUAAAAUCAGUGUUUAGUCUUUAUUUUAAUGUUUAUUAAUUUUUGAGAGAGAGAGAGAGAGAGAGAGAAUGCCAAGCAGGUCCUUACUAGAGGACCAACACGGGGGUAGAACUCACUAACCUUGAGACCAUGGUCUGAGCCAAAGUUGGACUCUCAACCGACUGAGCCGCCCGGGUGCCCCUAAAAUCUGUGUUUAGUCCUAAGAUCAAUAGCAUCUUAGACUCAAGGAAAUAGUUGUGAUUUUUUUCCAGCUUGGGGGUUACACUGAAUAUACAAUUUUGUGUCCUUCAUAAAACUGACCUCAUAUGAUGCGUGUUUUACCAUGUUGUUAAAAAUGUUAUUUGCAGCUAAGCUAAGGAUUUCAUAAUGUUUCAUUACAUGGAGGUAUGUAACUUUCAUAGCUAUUCUUCCCUGGCUUGUGAUAUAUAUUCAUUUUUUUUAAAAAUUGAGAUAUAAAUUUACGUGCAGUGAUACAGAUAGAAUUUACAUACAGAACCUAAAUUCAUUCUUGGAUAUGUUUUGACAAAUGUCUCUCCCAUACAACCACCACCAAAAUCAAGACGGAGAAUUUCCAUCACUCCAGAGAGUUCCCCGUGCCUUCUCCCAGAUGGUCUCUUCUCAUCUCUGCCACCGCUCUUUCAAUUUCUACGCCCACGGAUUGGCUUGGACUGUGCUGCAACUUAAUAUACACAUGGACUCCUAGAGCGUGCGCUCUUUUGUAUCCAGGCUUCUUCUGCUCAUCACGUUGUAUUUGAGAUUCAUCCGUGUUGGCAUCGUUCGUUAGUGGCUCAUUCUUGCUUAUUGCUGAUUAGUGCUCCAUUCUGCAGGUAGACCAUGUUCAUGGACAUCUAGGCCAUUUCCAGGUUGAGCAAACAUGAAUAAAGUUGCUGUGAGCAGUUC